UACGUAGGGGGCAAGCGUUGUUCGGAAUUACUGGGCGUAAAGGGCGCGUAGGCGGCACGGCAAGUCAGGAGUGAAAGCCCUGGGCUCAACCCGGGAACUGCUUUUGAAACUGCCGAGCUAGAGUGCGGAAGGGGCAACUGGAAUUCCCAGUGUAGCGGUGAAAUGCGUAGAUAUUGGGAAGAACACCUGAGGCGAAGGCGGGUUGCUGGGCCGACACUGACGCCGAGGCGCGAAAGCCAGGGGAGCGAACGGG
rnacentral:rRNA from 1 species